rnacentral:lncRNA from 1 species
GUGGAAACCUGGCAACAGAGGAACAGGCCAUUCUAGUUCUCUUCUCUUCUAGAACCAGAGGAUCUUUGAGCUUGAGGCCAGGAAAGCACAAUCCCUGGUGAUCCAAGUACAACAAAGGCCUCUCUGUGGCAGAACCGCAAACCUCCCCGCAGGGACAGGUAACAGGUGCGUUUCUUUCUGAUGACACCAAAGUCCUCUUUCCUGAUCUCUGCCAAAUCGUUUUGGAAUUUGUAUCCCAUCAUAAUUUAAAAAUUUGCUAAAGUGAAAAUGUAAAAAGGCAUUUCAAGGCCAGUGAUUUUGCAUUCAUUCUCCCUAAAGGUAGGUAAUUGGAAGAAAAUUACAAGAAAAAAGAUCAAUUUACCAGAUAAUCUGCCUCAAAAACAUCACAGAUCUGUUGUACUAGGUAGACAGAGCUGAAGCACAAGACAGCCCUUGUGCUUGCUGCCUCUGCACAGACCACAGACAUUACAUAUGC